rnacentral:tRNA from 1 species
AUAUAAUAAAGGUACAAAAUGGACUGAAAAUCCAUGUGUCGCCGGUUCAAUCCCGGCUGGGACCACCA